GGUCUUGACAUCCCGGAGACCCUUAGGAAACUAAGGGGGUGGCUUCCAUCUGGAAGAAUCUGGAGACAGGUGCUGCAUGGCUGUCGUCAGCUCGUGUCGUGAGAUGUUGGGUUAAGUCCCGCAACGAGCGCAACCCUUGCCUUUAGUUGCCAGCAGUUCGGCUGGGCACUCUAAAGGGACUGCCGGUGUUAAACCGGAGGAAGGUGGGGAUGACGUCAAGUCCUCAUGGCCUUUAUGACCAGGGCUACACACGUACUACAAUGGCCGAUACAAAGGGCAGCGACACUGCGAGGUGAAGCCAAUCCCGUAAAAUCGGUCUCAGUCCGGAUUGGAGUCUGCAACUCGACUCCAUGAAGUUGGAAUCGCUAGUAAUCGUGGAUCAGCAUGCCACGGUGAAUACGUUCCCGGGCCUU
rnacentral:rRNA from 1 species